UACAGAGGGUGCGAGCGUUAAUCGGAAUUACUGGGCGUAAAGCGCGCGUAGGCGGCUUUGCAAGUCGAGUGUGAAAUCCCCAGGCUUAACCUGGGAACUGCAUUCGAGACUGCAUGGCUAGAGUAUGGGAGAGGGAAGUGGAAUUUCAGGUGUAGCGGUGAAAUGCGUAGAUAUCAGGAGGAACACCGAUUGCGAAGGCAGCUCGCUGGAACGUUACUGACGCUGAGACGCGAAAGCGUGGGGAGCAAACAGG
rnacentral:rRNA from 1 species